rnacentral:rRNA from 1 species
AUGACCUUGGUCAAAGCGGUCCUCACGGCUGUGGCCAUCUACCAUAUCACUCCGCUGGACCUCCCGGUGGAGGUGUUACAGAAGCUGGAUAGCCUGGGAAGAGCCUACCUCUGGGCGGGAACAGACUCUGUGUCCGGCGGCAAGUGCAAAAUUAACUGGGAGCAAGUUUGCAGACCCAAGCAAUUUGGGAGCCUGGGAAUUCUCAAUCUGAAAAAGUUCGCCACCGCGCUCCGUCUUAGAUGGCUUUGGUUGGAGUGGGAUGACCCGCCAAGGGCUUGGUGCGGUACAGAGAUCCCUGUUGGCAAGGAAGAUCGCGACAUUUUUGCAGCCGCCACCAAGGUCACUAUUGGUGAUGACACAAAGGCCAAAUUCUGGGAGUCAUCUUGGUUGGAUGGCGUCCGCCCCAAAGACAUCGCCCCAAAAAAAAUUUAA